rnacentral:rRNA from 1 species
AAUUAUUGAAUUUUAAUUUUUAGUAAAAAUGCUAAAAUUUUUAUAAAAGACGAGAAGACCCUAUAAAUCUUGAUUUUAUUAAUUAUAUAUUUUUAUGUAUAAUAAUUAAAAUUUUAUAUUUAUUAAAAUUAUAUUGGGGCGAUAAUGAAAUUUAAUUAACUUUUAUAUUUUUUAAAUGUAUAUUUACAGAUUAAUGAUCCAAUU